GACAGGUCCGGGAAACCCGUUCAACCCCGGUCGUGCUAGGGAUAGGGAAUUGCAAUUAUUUCCCUUGAACGAGGAAUUCCCAGUAAGCGCGAGUCAUUAGCUCGCGUUGAUUACGUCCCUGCCCUUUGUACACACCGCCCGUCGCUACUACCGAUUGAAUGGUUUAGUGAGGUCCUCCGAUUGGACCCGGUCCGGGCGGCGACGUCCGAGCCGGCGUCCGAGAAGACGAUCUAACUUGAUCAUUUAGAGGAAGUAAAAGUCGUAACAAGGUUUCCGUAGGUGAACCUGCGGAAGGAUCAUUA
rnacentral:ncRNA from 1 species